CGAGCGUCUCCUGCACGUCUUCCGUGCCUCCAGGAGGUGGAGUGAGAAAUCAGGCAGCCCAGAGCCCUGCGCUGGCCAAGUCCACCGUCUUAUGAGGGAGGCAGCAGAGGCAGAAUGGCAAACCCAAAACGAAAAGACAAACACAACGACACACACGCACGCAACUAGAAGAACCUCAGCCUCUAUUUGUUUCCACCCCGCCGGCCACAUCCCGGGCCAGAGAUGACAGGGUAUUACAAUGUGCGUGUCCUUUAGAUAAGGCUGAAUGUGAAAUUGGAAUUAUAUCACUUCUUCCCCCAAGAGCCUGUCCUGCGUCCUCAGCCUCCUGGAAGGACAGCGCCACCAAAUACCUCAUCUGCACCCGUGAGCCCAGAGAGGGCCUUCGGCAGCCUCCCUCCGGUGACGCUGUCACGCUGCGCUCGGCUCCUCGCGCCCGAGCCUGGGGUUCACCCCGCGCCCCCAGCCCUCCCGCGAGGCCUGUCAGCGCCGCCUCCAGAAGCGUCCCCAGAGCAGCCCCGGUCCCUUCUCCGCCACCUCCGUCCAGAAGCAGCCUCGUCUGUCCCCUGGGCUCCCGCAGGAGCGCCUGGCCUUCCCCUUCGCCCGCGCUCCGUGCAGCAGUCAAGGCGACGCUUCGGCCUAACGCUGAACGCACCCUAAGUGCGCCCCCAGAUCCGGCCGCCGGGAUGGCCCCGCCCCCGCCCCGCCCCGUCCCUGCAGUGAGGCCAGUGCUCCUCCUCCCUCCACUGCUCAGUUAGCCGCGCUCCGUCCUCACCCGGGACCCUGCCCCGGCCCUUCCCUCCCCGGCACACCCUCUCCCCACAUGUGCCCACGGCCGGCUUCUUGCCACACGGGUCGGCUCCUCAGCGACGCCUUCGCGACCACUCCCUCUGGGUGGCCUCUGGCCCCCGACACGCUCGGUGCCUCACCCGGUCUUCCUGUCAGUACAGAGGGGCCACUGCCUCUUCUUUUCUUGUUUAUCUACUCGUCUGAUGCCUUCAUUUAGAAAGUAAGUUCCUCGGAGUUCCCCGUGGUGCAGGGGGUUAAGGACCUGGCGUUGUCACUGCUGCGGCUGAGGUGGCCGCUGUGACACAGGUUCCAUCCCUGGCCCAGGCGUUUCCACAUGCCACGGGCAUGGCCACAGAGAGGUAAGUUUCUCCCAGGGAAGGGCUCCAUCAUCGUAUUCACUUCCAGAUCCCGAUAAUCCUUAGCGGGUCCCAAAUGGGCGAUGCCUACUCCACUGAAACAUUGGUCAUGGUUGAUCUGAAAUUCAAGUUUAGCCAGGCGCCCCGUAUUCUAACUGACAGUCCUACCCGAGGCCCAUGGUACCACAUCUCGGGGACAUGGUGCCAAGAGCGGAAGCCAGACUGAAGAGAAGAGAGCAAAUGAUGUGGGCGAGAGAGGGGGCGGGAGAGGCAGGGUAACAGAGGCCCCGGUGGCCCAGUGUUCGCCCUCUGACGGUGUCGGGAAGUCCCACAGCUCGGUGGCCCAAGGUCGGUGCCACCCCUGUGCUUUCUGUACUUUAUUUCCAGGCAUCAAUAAAGUCCCCUUUCACUUUGAAAUAACAGCCGACGUUCUUGAGCACAUAUGUGUGCCAGGCACUGGGCGAGCGCUUGGAUGCACUGUCUCGCUGAGGCUGUCACCUCAGUGUCACCUCACACAGCUCGCUGAGGGUGUUGCUGUGUGGCGUCUACAGAGGAAGCGCUGAGGGACAGAGACCCUAAAUAACGUCCUCAAGGUCACGCAGACUUGAAGCGGCAGAGCCGGGCUCCACAGCCAGGCCGUCCGAUGCCAGCGUGUGGGACCACUGCGAGGAGAAGCCGUCCCUCGUCCCCCGGGAGGUCCCAGGUGGCUUGGGUCGAGCAGACACCGACUGCUGACCCUCGCGCGGCAGGCGGCCUCACGUGUGGGCUCAGGAACCAGACGAGCCAGGCUCAGAGCCACCUCCCUCACCCCUGGGGUAACUUUGGGAAAGCUCCCCUCUUGCUCUGAGCCUCAGCUUCCUCUCCUAGAAAGCGGAGUUGACAGUAACAGUAGCUCUUGCACAGGAUGGACGUGGGGCUUUGAUUAAUUAAUGCCUGUAUACACACACGUAAAGAGC
rnacentral:lncRNA from 1 species